rnacentral:lncRNA from 1 species
UUCUAUAUUCUUCUAUUGGAGAAUUUAUACAUAGAUGUAGUAAUUGCUAUUUUUUUAUGAAGUCCUUACUAUGUGGCAGGCACUGUGCUGACUGGUUUACGCAAACAUUCUUUACUAAUCUCACAACAAACCUGUGAUUGAUGGAAUUACUGUCCCUAUUUUACAGAUAUGGAGACCAGGACUUGGAGAGGCUAAGAAAUACCUUCAAGAUCAAAUAAGGACAGUGACAAGAUUCAUACCCAUCUGCCUGAGUCUUAAGCAUUUUGCUACUUUGAACCUAGGUCCAUCCUGCUCAUCUUUAGAGCCUCGCUGUUCUUUAUCCCCGGUAGCCAGCAGGGUACUGAGCCCUUGGGUUGAGUAUUGAAUCACCCCUAAAAGUUCUCUGAACAGACAUUGAGGAUGCAAUAAAUUGACUGGAACAGUGCUUGGCACUUGAUCUCAGCCACAGACCUUGUGCUCCCAACCCAUGGGCUUCCCAGAGAGACCGCAGAUUGGCUGCCAACACCCUGAAGACAGCAAGGCUGCCCAGUCCCCCAAGGCCUGCCAAGGACAGAUUCUACCUGCAACGUGGACCCAGAGAGUCAUUCUCGAACAAAGGAACCCCAGAGGCCUGAACUUACUCAGAAUUGACUUCUGCGUCCUUCUAUUAUUGGGACUGACAUUUGAAGUAGGUUGAAGCCAUACAAUUUUGCUAUUUAGAGGAUUCAGCUUAAGGUAACGGUCAAGUUGAAUAAUUCAAGAUCAAAGGGUUUGGGGCUUCCCUGGCGGUACAACAGUUAAGAAUCCACCUGCCAGUGAAGAGGAAAUGAUUUUGAUCCCUGGCCCGGGAAGAUUCCACCUACCACCUGGCAACUAAGCCAAUGCGGAACAACCACUGAUUCUGAUGCUGCAGCUACUGGAGCCUGCGUGCCUACAGUGUGGUCUGCAGCAAGAGAAGCCACCGCAAGAGAAGCCCGUGCUCGGCAAUGAGGAGUAGCCUCUGCUCACUGCAACUAGAGAGAGCCUGCCUGUAGCAGUGAAGACCCAGUGCAACCAAAAAGAAAUAAACAAAUUUUUAAAAAAGAAAAACCA